GCGCCCGUAGCUCAGCGGAUAGAGCGCUGCCCUGCGGAGGCAGAAGCCCCGUGUUCAAAUCACGGCGGGCGCGCCA
rnacentral:tRNA from 1 species